CAGGGAAUAGUUUAAGUUUAGAAUUUCAGCUUUGGGUGUUGAUGGUAGAAUAGGAAUUCUUUCCCUGAG
rnacentral:tRNA from 1 species